AGGAGGGGUGCGGAAGUGGGGGAGGGGCGGGGCAGCAGGACUCCGCUGCUUUGGCCUCAAGGAAUUUGGUCGACACUUGAAGACUGACCAAGAAAAAGUAAUUUGUCCCAGUUUUCUCCCAUCCUUUGUUUUCUUCUGCUCCUCUUGGGCUUGUUUUUUGUUUUUUUGGGUUCUUUUUUUUUUUCUUUUCUUUUUUUUUUUCCCCGCAGUCAGUUCUGAAAAUCGCCUCCCAGAGGAGAUAACGCAUUCUCCUCUGUAACCCGUCCUUGCACGUCCCGUGGGGGGAGUCCCGGUUCUCAUCCCUUCGGGGACCUGCAAGGAGCCCCGCCCGCGAGCUUUGAACCGAUUGCGGCUCCGCGUGCAGGAGCAGGCCCAGCGUAGGGCCGGGGGAAUUCAGGUGUAAAGGCUACCUCCUGUUUCACACCCGGGUAACAUAAAAGACAGCGCUGGGACCGAAACUCGGGUCUCCUGGAUCCUGGUUGGCUGGAGAGAGGGGCAAUGAACGCCCCGAAAAGAAUUCUGUCUUUUCUCAGUAUCUGGGAGGACUCAUAACAGGGUAGAUAAUCAGGAUGGAUGUUCGGCAGGUUUUGGUAACCUUAACGAAUGGAUUCAGCAGUUUUCCACUUCUUAUGCCCUGAAACUAUUCAACCCACAAGAAUUACCUGAUCCUUGGCAAUUUGACAGCACUUGGCCUAAGAGAAUGAGGCCUUUUCAUGGGACUUAGAAAUGGAAAGAGACUUUUGACAGCCUCUUCAUCUAUUACUGUGGUUAUUAUUCUAUGAGGAUGUGUCACUUGAGUGUGUCAUAUAGUGUCUCUGAUUCUCAGUUGCUUAUUUGUUGAGAGAUAAUGAUACUGAAUAUUAAAUGACUUACUGCUUAUAAAAUUCUAGUAUGAUGCCUGGGCCAUGCAAGCCUUCAAUCAAUGUUAUUUAUUAUUAUCACAUCAAUAUUGGUAAUUUAUAUUGUCCUAAAUCCUAUCUCAUUCACUAUGCUUAGAUUAUCAGGGAUUAUCAGAUACAGAGGUAUAAAGUUGUAAAAAAAUGCUUUGUAUUUGAGAUACAUGUCUCGUCUGUAUUUGUAAAUGUCUCUUCUCUCAUCACUAAUUUUGAAUUCUAAGUUUAUAUUUUCCCUUAAUUAAACAUUCCACAGAUUUGUAUUUCAGUUUUAUUUACAAAAAUACUUUCUUAGCUCUCCUAGCACAUAAACAGAUUUUCUCUGUUAAUUCCUUUCUUCUGCUUUCAUUUGGUAUGUUCUGUUGGUCUUUUACUUGCUUCUGAAGAGAAAUACUCACCAGUAUUUCAGUCAUUUAAAGUCUUUCUCAUUUACUUAAAAAAUGCACUUAAGUUACAAAUGUUCCCCUCUGACCUGCUUUUGUAGCAUUCCACAGUAAUGAUAUAUGUUGUCUUACUGACAUUCUAUUAUACCUAGCCUGUAAUUUUAGUUUUGAUUUUCUCUUUGCGCAAAAACAUUUUUAGAAGCAUUUGACAUUAACAUUUUAUACUUUUCUGAUUAUAUUUUGAUGCUGAUUUCUAUCUCUAUUUUCUAGCACAGUAUUAAUUUUCUAAAUUAAAAUGUAUUUUGAUAUUUUCUUAUUAGAUCAUUGUAUAGUUAAUUCAUUAAUUUCUUGGGCAGUUUAAAAAUUGUGUAUUCGCUAUAAAUAAUUUUAUGAUAUCUAUCAGGUCAAUGUUUUAUUCUUAUUUGUCUUUUAUAAUAUUACUUAUUUCUUUGUCCACUGAUAUUUCUUGAACUUAGAGCAAUAAAUUGAAGUCAAUUACU